GAUCAAACAAGACUAUGGCAUGUUUUUUCAUCCUAAAAUAUUACAUUUUUAGGAUGAAAAAACAUGCCAUAGUAUUGUCUGAUC